CGAGAUUGAACAGCGAGAAAGGGGUGACAUGAACUUUUGAAAUUUCCCUCCAUGUCCCAGAAUACAGUGCAAAAUACAUCCCAGUUACAUCAUGAAUACAUUAAGAAGAGGUUGGGUUACACAGAUUACAUCAUGAAUACAUUAAGAAGAGGUUGGGUUACACAGAUUACAUCAUGAAUACAUUAAGGAGAGGUUGGGUCACACAGGAUUAACAUAUGGAGGAGGGAGGGGGGAAUAUGCAGAGCUGGAGAUAUGCGCAGAUAAGCACAUCCUGAGAAGACAAUGGUCCAUGUAUGCAUAGUCUGUCACCUGGCAUCGCCCGGAGGAAGGGCUUGGCAGAGCAAUUUGACAGGAUUAGGGUCUUGACACCUUGCUUGAGGGAUUAUGGAGGACAGGGGAGGUGUCAUGGAGUCCUAGAGAAAUUGAGCAAAUUGGCAUGUUGGUUUUCUAUGAAUUUUAUAGAUUUU